rnacentral:rRNA from 1 species
UACGAAGGGGGCUAGCGUUGCUCGGAAUCACUGGGCGUAAAGGGUGCGUAGGCGGGUCUUUAAGUCCGGGGUGAAAUCCCGGAGCUCAACUCCGGAACUGCCUUUGAUACUGGAGAUCUUGAGUCCGGGAGAGGUGAGUGGAACUCCGAGUGUAGAGGUGAAAUUCGUAGAUAUUCGGAAGAACACCAGUGGCGAAGGCGGCUCACUGGCCCGGUACUGACGCUGAGGUGCGAAAGCGUGGGGAGCAAACAGG